UCCGGACUGGUGUAACGGUUAACAUUUGUCGCUUUCAAAUCUUGGAAGAUCCGACAGGCUCGGGGUUCGAUUCCCCGGUUCGGAA
rnacentral:tRNA from 1 species